rnacentral:lncRNA from 1 species
AGGUCGCUCCCGCGAUGGAGGGAUGUGCGGGCGGGCUAGGAUUCCGUGGUUAAGCCUGUGGCCUCUGGAGCCGCGAGUUUGAAUCCUGGUUGCAGCUGUUCCACUUACUAGCUCUGUGGCCAUGGGUAAGGUGCCCAUCCUCAGUUUCUCCGUCUGCAAAAUGAAAGCGAAUUCUUAGUGUUGUUGUGGACUCAUGAGAUGAUGCAUGGAAGCAAGGGCGAAGUCGCUGUAGCUUUCUUUAUUUAUGAGAGAAAAGGAGCUGCCCAGGUGAGAGGACAAAAACCCGAGAAAACAGACCCGGAAAAGAUGGUUUUGGUUGCGGGCUAGGAAGGAGAUGUAGCAGAUGAAGCUGGAGAAGUCCGAAGGAGGCCUUAAAUUUUGCAGGGCCUCCUUGGUGUGGGAAGGAGUUUGGUUUCUGCAGUGGUGAAGAACCAUGGAAGUACCGUAUUUAGCAGGGGAUUUUGUGCAGGUCACUCAGCUCCUGCGUGGAGAAUAAGGCGGGGAUGGAUGUGCUAAAGGCAGAUCGAUGCUUAGGUAUUGCAGGACUAGAGAGAAGGGAAUGGGCACCUGGAUGAAAGGGUGAUGCGGGGGCGGGGGUAGACAAUAGUGGAUUGUUUUAAAAGAAAUUGUGAGGGAGAGGGAGUUAAGGAUAAAUAUUCUGUUUGAGUAACUGCAUGCAUGUUUGCACCUUUCAGGGAGAGCUAGGAAAUGCUGAAGGGGUGGGCAGUAGAGAGGCAGAUGUUUAGAUUCAGACAGGCUCCCAACCCAGUGAAGAUCAAAGCUGUGAUAGAAAGGAUCGCUGGGUCAGCUCAGCUGGCAGGCCAAGCCCCACGGUAUCUGAAGUUUCCCUGGAGGUUGCUCAGGGCACAUGGGAGUGUGGAAUGUAGCAACCAUUUUGUGCAAACGUUAGGGACUCCAUAAGCCUCUAAAAAAUUAGCAAUUGUAUGAGGACUCCGGACCAGAAGAAUGUGGCUAGCAUUCCAGGCAAGACAGGAUGGAAUUUUCACUGUCCUUCAACCAACUGAAAGGCUCCAAUAAAGUCUUGGGUAUUUACCCUGAACCAGCCAAGGCUUUGGAGUCACUGGCAGGAAUCCGAGUAUCUAACUGUUUUCAGGGCAGAAUAGAUGGGGAGGGUACGGCUGUGGAAGACACAUGCAUUUCCACUUUCUUCUGUAAAUGCAGCUCAGUGUUCCCGGAUGCAAUGAUAAAGAUGUCUAGGAUUUGCUUCAAAACAAAACAAAGGGAUGGGGAAGCAGAUGGGAGUGUAGAUGAGUCAAAAGUGGCCGCAAGUUACUAAUUGUUAAAGCCACGUAAUGGGGAUGUGGAGAUUCGUUGUACUGUCUCUAUAUUGUUGUGGAUGUUUAAUGGGGAUGUGGAGAUUCAUUGUACUGUUUCUAUAUUUUUGUGGAUGUUGAAAAAUAUUUUCUUCUUUCUUUUUUUUUUUUGAGAUGGAGUCUCCCUCUAUUGCCCAGGCUGGAGUGCAGUUGUGCAAUCUCUGUUCACUGCAACCUCCGCCUCCCGGGUUCAAGUGGUUCUCCUGCCUCAGCCUCCCAAGUAGCUGGGACUACAGGCAUGUGCCACCAUGCCUGGCUAACUUUUGCAUCUUUAGUAGAGAUGGGGUUUUACCAUGUUGGCCAGGCUGGUAUCGAACUCCUGACCUUGUGAUCCGCCCACCUUGGCUUCCCAAAGUACUGGAAUUACAGGCAUAAGCCACCACACCCGGCCGAAAAAUAUAUUUAAAAAGGUAAGAAACACACAAGACAAGCAGCUUGGACUUAUCUUCUCCAUGAUACCUACCCAGUAUCCCUGUGAGCAGCUGACAUUCCUUUCUCCAAGCAGUUGCUGUAUUUUGAACAUUGCUCGAGCAAGAAACUUUUUAUAAUGGGUUUAUUUAUCCAUGUCACCUGCUAUACUAUGUUUAUUGUAGCUCAGCAUGAUUUCCAGGUACCAAGCACAGUACUUGGUGCGUAAUAGUGCUAACUGAAUGUUGGAUGGAUGGAGGGAUUAAAAAAAAGAAAAACACCUGAAUAUCAGACACUUAAUAAAUGUUUCUUGGGAGGCCGAGAUGGGCGGAUCACGAGGUCAGAAGUUCGAGACCAGCCUGGCCAACAUGGUAAAACGCCGUCUCUACUAAAAAUACAAAAAUUAGCUAGGUGUGGUGGCAGGCACCUGUAAUCCCCACUGCUCAGGAGGCUGAGGCAGGAGAAUCACUUGAGCCCGGGAGGCAGAGGUUGCAGUGAGCCGAGAUCACGCCAUUGCACUCCAGCCUGGGUGACAGAGCAAGACUCUGUCUCAAAAAAAAUAAAAAAUAAAAUAAAUAAAUGUUUUCUGAACUGUAUUCUCUAUCUGUUCUUAGUUAAUUUGUGUUUGCCAUUUUUAAAGUCAAAAACCAGGGAGAGUUCUCUACACAAUGUAAAUAUUUGAUAAGUACUUAUUAAUUGCUUAUUGUGCUAGUCUAUUCUUUAAAUAUCAGAGGUUCCAAAACAAAGAGCUCCAAUAGUAGGAUCACAGUCAGGUAACCAAUUAUCCGAGUAGGAAGGUUGCCUUAGUUGAAGUAACUGGAGGUGAAUGGGGAUUUGUCAGGCAGGCUCUUCCAGAUAAAGGUGAACCUUCCCUGUUGUUUUGAUAGAAGGAGGAAAUGGAAUGACCAUCAAGAGAAAGGUAGUUGCUGGCUUGAGAGGAUCAUCUGUGCAACAGGCAGCUAAGCAGAAGAAGACUUUAUAUAUAUUUUUAAUACCACCCACACUGUUGCUAGUAUUCCCCACCACUCCAUUGGCCUGGUGAACUCUUAUUCAUCCUUCAAAACCCAGCUUAACCAUGGCCUUCAGGAAAUCUUGAGCUGGCUUCCCAGGACAGAGUGGGUCAGUCCUCUGCAUGCUCCUGCUGCUGUGCUGUACUCACCAUACUGUACUGUAAUUUACUGGUUUGUAAGUCAUUUCCACUGCUGGGUUGUGAGCUCCUCCAAGGCAGGGGCUUUGCCUUAUCUGCCUAUGUUCCCAGGACUUACACAGUGCCUGAUGUGUAGUAGGUACCCCAUGAAUGUUUUACAUAAUUAGCAGGAGCGUAUCAGGUAAAUUAGCAAAGCAAACUGUGGGAUGUGGGAUGUCAGACAAUAGGAGUAGGUGGGCUUAUGGGAGCUGAAGAGCACAUGCUCCUCAGCUCUGAUUGAUUGCUCUGUGCGAUAGGGGCCCAGUGGUGGUGGAUCUAACAACUUUUUAAGAGAUUCUGACAAUUCAGACUUUACAUGUUGAAUAUUCCGGAUUUUCAACAUUAGCAACUAAUUCCAUUUGGAGGAAAAAAUGUAGCAUGGGUCUACAGACAAGAUCUGGCUGUAAUUCAUGUUCAGAGGUAAUCAGGAAACGAUUAGUUUACUGAAAAUGUAGUCGACAAUCAAAUGGCUGCUAGGUUGCCAAUAAAAUGUGUUGAGUGGAAUUCACAUGCCCCAGAAAGCUCCUCCUGGUGCUGUGGGCAAGGAAGAGGGCCCAAGUGUGGGAAGAAGGAUUCAGGAGGCAGAGCCAACUCUCCCAGUGCUGCCGGAGCCACUCUUGCUUGAGCUGAAGUACUGUGGACUGUUUUGCAGCCUUCUUGAUAUUGCUCAAACUGAGCCACCCUUGAUAUUGUGCCUAUCAGAAUGAUGGAUUAAAUGUUAUUGUUUCCUUAUAUUCCAUAGGCAUCAGAUAUCAACUGUCAUUGUGAAACAUAUUACAAUGUAAGAGAUUUGAUAUUGUCCUAACAGCUUUAGUCUCUGGUGGCUUUACUGAGCUCUUCUGGUUUAGAGGUGAAACAACCCAGAGAAAGGAUUUAUUUAUGUAUUCGUUUUUGGUCUGAAGACCAAAAAGGAUGUUUGCAAGAUAUUAACAGUAAUCAUUCAUUCAACAACUGUUUUUAAAGCACCUGCUGUACGAUACCUGCUACAGAUACAGUGAUGGUGAAAGUAUAGUUGUCUCAGUGUUAUUAUAGAAGCUUUUACUCUGUAUUUUCCUCGAUUUCUAUUUUCUGUACUGAUCAUGCAUAAUUUUUUACAAUCAUUAAAAAAACAAGAAAGCAAUGUCUUUUUGCAAAAAGGGAAAAAAAAGCUUUCUUUUGCUUUGAAAAAUGUGCCCUCAAGAGAGGAAUCCACUUGGGGGGUUGGGCUUUUAUUUCCUAAAAACUACUUAGAGAGUCCAGUAAGAGAAAUAAUGCAAAGAAAAUAUUAACAGUUUGAAAAUUCUUUAGCAAAUAUCAAGUCCAACGGAUUUAUCUUAUUGAAGAGAAAACCAAAGUACAGAUGAGCAAAUGACUCAGUCAAGGUUAUAGGUGUGACCCAGUCAGGGCAGAACAGACUAAGGUCUAGAUCUUCUGCUUUCCAGCCCUGUAAGCUUUUCCAUUACACCAAGUCGACUUGUCAUAAACAUUCAUUUGUUUGAGACAGUCUCUUCUGAUUCAUUUUAAGGUAGUCUUCAGAUAUUUUAUUGGGUAAAUCUUUCAUUUGUCCAAAUCUAUAUAUAGCUGUUUUCUUUCCAAAAAAAAGUCUAGGCUCUUUCAAAUUGCUGAGUCAGAGAACAUCUCAGUAUUUAUAACGCUUCAGAGUUGGUUCUAUAUAUUUACACAGUACUCAGAGAAGUGUCUCAGAAACCGGUGAACUAAUUAAAUUGUAAUGAAACUCCAUGAAGGUCGUAACUGUUCCUAUCCAAAUUCAUCAUGUAUUCUACCCCAGCACCCAGUACAGUGCCUGACACACAGUAGGUGCCCAAUAAAUAUUUGCUGAAGGAAUAAAUUCUAAUAGAAUUGAGAUUUUUCUGUUUACAAGGGAUUACUUCACAUGUUAUUUUUCAUAUUUCCCCAAUGAACUCAAAACGGAAAUAUUCACCAGCCUGCUUAACAUUGCCAUUUGAAUAAUAGAAACCUAGAAUUUAACACCUCAGAAAGUAAGCUUCUACUUAAAAAAAAAAAUUAGCUGGGUGUGGUGACACCUACCUUUAGUCCCAGCUACUCGGGAGGCUGAGGUGGGAGGAUCACUUGAGCCCAAGAGGUCGAGGCUGCAGGGAGCCGUGA